UGCGUCGAUAGAGUAAACAAACCAGAAGCUGGUUCCUGAAAUCGAGUAAACAUAUGGGUGAAAAAUUGACCAUUAGGUAAAUAAAUUGUUGCUGAAAGCAAUCUGAUAACAAUAUCCCGCUUGGAAACUGCAAGUUCACGUUACUAUGGCAACGGGUCCAACUGAUGUCAACUCCCCAAUCACACCAAUGCCAUUCGACAGUUCGCGCAAAAGUGAGCCUGGCACAGUUUGACGCCAUCGAAGUAGCUCCUUUCCUGGAUGGUCCGGUUGAAGGGAAGUUCUUCCACGUACUUCAGUCAUUUCCCUGCCCCACGAGGAUGGCGUUGCACAAAGUAGAAAAUCCGGAGCGAAGGCAGCAAGGUAAACAAAUCUAAUGCUUAUGUGUGCUACGUUACCGCUGAAGCUAGAAAAAGGACGAUGGAAAACAGCAGAAAGAGAAGGGAUCAUUCUGGCAUGCCCUUCCACCAUACCCCGUCUGUUGGUAAGGCAGGACACACGACACUGAUCUGCACAUAAUCCGCGGACCUGCUGGGACCUUUUCGGAGCGAAUUGCGGAACAACGGAAAAGAGCUCUCUGGCCAGUUUCGGAUCAUUUCACGAGGACACGCGCGCGCUGCACAUAAGCGAUUAUUUAUUUUCCAAAUCAGAUUUACAAUUCUACGGGAGAACAAGGUGUUUGGUGUGGAGGAAAUGGAGUCGUUUGUAAUGGUUGUCAUUUAUCUGAACAUGGAGCUCUUCCUAUGUACUACCAAUGAAAUAUAAUGUGUUGCCGAACUCCUACGCGCUUGUUAUCUUCAGGUGAGCUUUACGAAGGUCGACGGAGAAGUGUUGGAGCAGCAUGGAGACACGGGUAAGCGUCCUUCUCCUUCUUCCUUGUGUGUCACGGGGAAGAGAUUUCCAUGGAGCUCUCUAUUCGUCAUACUUUCGUCAUCGUCAUAGAGGAAUCUGGGGCACUAGAGAGGUCUUCGUGCCAAAGGACAGUGAAAGAAUAGGUUAUACUUGUAGAAGAGAGAUGUCGGUUGAAAGAGAUAACGUACCGCGCACGCGAAAAGGAAGCGCAUCCUGUUCCGUUUGCCUGACGUCAGUGCCAUGCGCAAUUGCUAAUUGACAAGGACAUACGGGAACCAGUACAUGAUGAGACAACGAAGUGAAAUGGAGGAGAUCACGUUUAUCGGAAAAGCGAUUGGCCAAAUAAUGCCAAGGAAAACACUCUAA